rnacentral:rRNA from 1 species
GACGUAGGGCGCAAGCGUUGUCCGGAUUUAUUGGGCGUAAAGAGCGUGUAGGCGGCCUGAAAGGUCAGCUGUGAAAACUCGAGGCUCAACCUCGAGACGUCGGUUGAAACCAUCUGGCUAGAGUCCGGAAGAGGAGUGUGGAAUUCCCGGUGUAGCGGUGAAAUGCGCAGAUAUCGGGAAGAACACCCGUGGCGAAGGCGGCACUCUGGGACGGUACUGACGCUGAGACGCGAAAGCGUGGGGAGCGAACAGG